UGGAGGUGGAGUAGAUCUAAUACGGCUUUUUGGUUUCUUCUUUUUCUUCUGGUGUUGUAGGUUGUCGGGUUAAUUUUUCAACCACUUUUUGGAUGGUAUUGUUUGAUGUAGAUUGCCGAUGGGAUCAGAAAACUUCUACAGUUUACUUCUUUUUUUCUUUUUUUCGGUAAAGAUCAUGAGGUGACCCGAAGGGUGGGAUUAAUUCCUGCUCAGGGAUCGGCUUGCCCCUGGCCACAAAGUGCUUCCAACAAGUUUCGAGCCAUUGAGGCACUAGGUAGCUCAUCAG
rnacentral:lncRNA from 1 species